AAGUCUGAAAUGGUAAAGAACUCUGUCAUUUCCUCCUGCCUUCCUAUCUUUUCCUCCUUUUCUUUAAGCCUUUUAGUACACAGUUGGUGAAUAACCAACACUGUAAUUUCUACCCUAAUCAAGAUCUAUAAAGGAUAAGGUAAACAAUUCUAUAAGCAAUGAAAACAAAUAGUCCACUUCUCCCAGGAAGUGCCAGUCCUUACAAACACUAUACCCUAAUAGCUCACUGUCCAGUAAACAGAUGUGUGGGCAGAGUCUGAGAUGCUACCCACCAGCAUAUAAGCA
rnacentral:lncRNA from 1 species